rnacentral:rRNA from 1 species
GAGUUUGAUCCUGGCUCAGGACGAACGCUGGCGGCGUGCUUAACACAUGCAAGUCGAACGGUGAUGUCAGAGCUUGCUCUGGCGGAUCAGUGGCGAACGGGUGAGUAACACGUGAGUAACCUGCCCCCGACUCUGGGAUAACUGCUAGAAAUGGUAGCUAAUACCGGAUAUGACGAUUGGCCGCAUGGUCUGGUCGUGGAAAGAAUUUCGGUUGGGGAUGGACUCGCGGCCUAUCAGGUUGUUGGUGAGGUAAUGGCUCACCAAGCCUACGACGGGUAGCCGGCCUGAGAGGGUGACCGGCCACACUGGGACUGAGACACGGCCCAGACUCCUACGGGAGGCAGCAGUGGGGAAUAUUGCACAAUGGGCGAAAGCCUGAUGCAGCAACGCCGCGUGAGGGAUGACGGCCUUCGGGUUGUAAACCUCUUUUAGUAGGGAAGAAGCGAAAGUGACGGUACCUG